rnacentral:rRNA from 1 species
AUUGAACGCUGGCGGCAGGCUUAACACAUGCAAGUCGAGCGGAGCGAGGGUGCUUGCACCUUAGCUUAGCGGCGGACGGGUGAGUAAUGCUUAGGAAUCUGCCUAUUAGUGGGGGACAACAUUCCGAAAGGGAUGCUAAUACAGCAUACGCCCUACGGGGGAAAGCAGGGGAUCUUCGGACCUAGCGCUAAUAGAGGAGCGUAAGACGGAUUAGCUAGUUGGUGGGGUAAAGGCCUAACAAAGCGACGAUCUGUAGCGGGUGUGAGGGGAUUAUCCGCCACACUGGGACUGAGACACGGCCCAGACUCCUACGGGAGGCAGCAGUGGGGAAUAUUUGACAAUGGGGGGAACCCUGAUCCAGCCAUGCCGCGUGUGUGAAGAAGGCCUUUUGGUUGUAAAGCACUUUAAGCGAGGAGGAGGCUACCGAGAUUAAUACUCUUGGAUAGUGGACGUUACUCGCAGAAUAAGCACCGGCUAACUCUGUGCCAGCCGCCGCAGUAAAAC